rnacentral:tRNA from 1 species
GCGCUCGUAGCUCAGCUGGAUAGAGCAGUGGGCUUCGAACCCGAAGGCCGCAGGUUCGAGUCCUGCCGGGCGCG